AUUGAACGCUGGCGGCAGGCCUAACACAUGCAAAUCGAGCGAGCGGCGGACGGGUGAUUAAUGUAUGGGGACUGCCCGGUAGAGGGGGAUAACUACUGGAAACGGUAGCUAAUACCGCAUUCUAUCGUAUACCCCAUCUGGUAUUUGCUAGUAGGUGGGGUAAAGGCUAACCUAGGCGACGAUAUCUAGCUGGUCUGAGAGGAUGAUCAGCCACACGGGGACGGAGACACGGCCCAGACUCCUACGGAGGCAGCAGGGGGGAAUAUUGCACAAUGGGCGCAAGCCUGAUGCAGCCAUGCCGCGUGUAUGAAGAAGGCCCUAGGGUUGUAAAGUACUUUCAGUCGGGAGGCGUUACCGACAGAAGAAGCACCGGCUAACUCCGUGCCAGCCGCCGCGGUAAUAC
rnacentral:rRNA from 1 species